AGUCCUCCUGCCCCGAGUCCAGAGGCAGCAAGGGAAGAGGCCAGGGAGAGUCCAACUACUAUUGGUAGAAAAAUGGUCUUUCCUGUUCUGGAAAGGGAGGUAGUAACAAGCUAUGUUAAUUCAGUGUCACUGUACAGAAUUAAUUGAGGGACCAAGGUGAAAGGAUCACAAAAAGCAAACAGCAUUUUGAGGCUUAGAUUUUUUUUUUUUGUUAGGAUACCAUUGCACCAGAAAAAAGAACCCAGGCAUAGCAAAGGUUAAGGAAGAAAUUCGAACAAUCUGGUCACAGGGUGCUGAACCUGAGGAAGUAUAACAGCAAGAGAAAUUCCCUGAUUAGUUAUGAAAAGAGGUACUUCCUCAAAGGCUGGAGAGGGAGGUCCUUGGAGUCUACUUGAGGUAUUGAGUGGAAAAUCAAUGGGAAUUGCAGUUAAUGGAGUAUGAUCCAAACCUGUGCAGAGGAAACAGUCUGAAGUGUUAUUCACUUUGGACAAAUUGAGAAGCUGAAGGCCCUGAUGUAUUACGGCCAUCCAUGAGAAAGGGUCAGCUUUGGGAUGGGCAACUGCAUCCAGCUGGUGUUAGAGUUCCUUCUCUUGCUCCUGGAUGGUUAUGUGAACUUGAGGGAACACUUGUAUGUAAGUUCUCCAUAUUCUGAUAGAGGCUGAGGGGUGUUUGGCAAAACUCCAUGAAUAAAAUUUACCAUCAACACCCAAAGCCCAUUUUGGGUUCCAUGGGUCCCAAAUAGUAAAUUUGGUGCAUGCAAGAUUCUCAUAGCAAGGCUUAUCUCGAAAGCAUUUUUUGCAUGAAUUAUAAGAGUACCCACCAUAGGUGUCAGGCCAGCACUUACAGGAUUCUUCAGUUUGGUCUGCUAUGAAGGACAGCAUUGCUGAACAUAAGUGAGAUGAGGUGGCCCAGUUGAAUCCAGUAACAUUAAGGGUGAUGGCCUGUUUACAGCCAAUGAAAGGGCAAUCGCUUUGAACCAUAAACUGAGAGUGGAUGGUGCCAUCCUGUUGCCAUGUCACUUGGAUGUAGAAGUGUCAUUUGUGGGUUGAGGUAGAAGCUUGAGAGAGAUUAAUGAUUAGUAACAAAGGAGAGAGUUGGCAAGAAACCUUGAGUUUGGUGGGCCCCAGCAUGGUAGAAGUAUGACUGUAUGGGGUCCCUGUUCAGCAAGGUUCCAAUGAUUGAGGGUGAGCUCUCAAAGUAAGACUGCAUCACCUGGUUGAAGAGGGUCCUAUUCAAUUCCUGGUUGUGCUGGGCCAGAAGUAAUGGAUGGUGCAGAAAGACACUGGUCUUGGUGUUCCCUUAGGAGUUUGUAUGGAAGUGUGAGAUAGUGCAGGUAGGACACAAGGGGAGGAGGAGUGACAGGAAAAUUUUGGUUGAUUAAGA
rnacentral:lncRNA from 1 species